rnacentral:rRNA from 1 species
GAUGAACGCUGGCGGCGUGCCUAAUACAUGCAAGUCGAGCGAACGGACGAGAAGCUUGCUUCUCUGAUGUUAGCGGCGGACGGGUGAGUAACACGUGGAUAACCUACCUAUAAGACUGGGAUAACUUCGGGAAACCGGAGCUAAUACCGGAUAAUAUUUUGAACCGCAUGGUUCAAAAGUGAAAGACGGUCUUGCUGUCACUUAUAGAUGGAUCCGCGCUGCAUUAGCUAGUUGGUAAGGUAACGGCUUACCAAGGCAACGAUGCAUAGCCGACCUGAGAGGGUGAUCGGCCACACUGGAACUGAGACACGGUCCAGACUCCUACGGGAGGCAGCAGCAGGGAAUCUUCCGCAAUGGGCGAAAGCCUGACGGAGCAACGCCGCGUGAGUGAUGAAGGUCUUCGGAUCGUAAAACUCUGUUAUUAGGGAGGAACAUAUGUGUAAGUAACUGUGCACAUCUUGACGGUACCUAAUCAGAAAGCCACGGCUAACUACGUG